rnacentral:rRNA from 1 species
AGCGAACGCUGGCGGCAUGCCUAACACAUGCAAGUCGAACGGCAGCACCGUAAGAGCUUGCUCUUACGGGUGGCGAGCGGCGGACGGGUGCCGUAUAUAUCGGAAUCUACUCUUUCGUGGGGGAUAAUGUAGGGAAACUUACGCUAAUACAGCAUAUGACCCACGGGUGAAAGCAGGGGAUCUUUAGACCUUGCGCGAUUGAAUGAGCCGAUGUCGGAUUAGCUAGUUGGCAGGGUAAAGGCCUACCAAGGCCACGAUCCAUAGAUGGUAUGAGAGGAUGAUCAGCGACACUGGGACUGAGACACGGUCCAGAAUCUUACGGGAGGCAGGAGUGGGGAAUAUUGGACAAUGGGGUAAAGCAUGAUCCGGCAAUGCCGCGUGAGUGAUGAAGGCCUUAGGGUUGUAAAGCUCUUUUAUCCGGGAUGAUACUGACGGUACCGGGAGAAUAAGCACCGGCUAACUCCGUG